UACGUAAGGGUGCAAGCGUUAAUCGGAAUUACUGGGCGUAAAGCGUGCGCAGGCGGUUUUGUAAGUCUGUCGUGAAAGCCCCGGGCUCAACCUGGGAAUUGCGAUGGAGACUGCAAGGCUUGAAUCUGGCAGAGGGGGGGUAGAAUUCCACGUGUAGCAGUGAAAUGCGUAGAGAUGUGGAGGAACACCGAUGGCGAAGGCAGCCCCCCUGGGUCAAGAUUGACGCUCAUGCACGAAAGCGUGGGGGAGCAAACAGG
rnacentral:rRNA from 1 species